rnacentral:lncRNA from 1 species
CCAAGGAGAAGACGGUAGUGUGGGCGGCCGACGGUGUACGGUGGUUGGAUUUAAGGUGAUGGUGAUGUGGUGGUGUGAUCGGAGCGAGGGGCGGAGAAGGGUUAACUACGGUGGUGGAGGGUGAAAGACGGUGAAGUGCGGUGGAACGGUGGUUGAAGGUGGUUGUUGGGUGGUACGUCGCGGCGGAGAAGUGGAGGUGGUACGAUGGCGAUGUGGUAGUGUACGGUGGUCGGAGAUGGUGGAGUCGAUUGAAGGUGAUGACGAUGAAUGGAGAUGUGAUGGUUCGUCGGCAGCGGUGGAUGUUGCAGAUUUACAGUGUACGGCGGAGGUGAAGUAACUCAGACGAAGAAGUGGUUAUGUUUCUCGGAUGAAGAAGUGCUUCGGAUAUAGUUGUGUUGAAGAUUGUAUUUGGAAAUGUAAUUGAUGUUUGUGAGUGAUGAUGAGCGGAGA